rnacentral:rRNA from 1 species
AGCGAACGCUGGCCGCAGGCCUAACACAUGCAAGUCGAACGAACCUUUCGGGGUUAGUGGCGGACGGGUGAGUAACACGUGGGAACGUGCCUUUAGGUUCGGAAUAACUCAGGGAAACUUGUGCUAAUACCGAAUGUGCCCUUCGGGGGAAAGAUUUAUCGCCUUUAGAGCGGCCCGCGUCUGAUUAGCUAGUUGGUUGAGGUAAUGGCUCACCAAGGCGACGAUCAGUAGCUGGUCUGAGAGGAUGAUCAGCCACAUUGGGACUGAGACACGGCCCAAACUCCUACGGGAGGCAGCAGUGGGGAAUCUUGCGCAAUGGGCGAAAGCCUGACGCAGCCAUGCCGCGUGAAUGAUGAAGGUCUUAGGAUUGUAAAAUUCUUUCACCGGGGACGAUAAUGACGGUACCCGGAGAAGAAGCCCCGGCUAACUUCGUG